UAUACUAAAACUGGAAUGAUACAGAGAUGAGCAGCAUGGCCCCUGUGCAAGGAUAACACGCAAAUUCGUGAAAUGUUCCAUAUUUUU
ensembl:snRNA Gm25081 predicted gene, 25081